CCGGCCUUCCCGGGCGGGCGCGUCUGGGCGCAGCCGGCAACGGCGUGGGAGCGGCUCGCGUUCCCGUCGGCCUUUAUCAGCAGGCGGCAUGGGCAGGCGCUUUCUGAAAAUGCUAGCGGCUGCCGCCGGCGGAACCCCCGCGGGGGCCGGGCUCGCCGCCAAGCGCUGUAGGAGCACUGGCCCUUGAACUGGCACAGCGCGCUGCAGGUGGUACUCAGGUGGCGCCCACGUUCCCGAUGAGCAAUCUGAGGCUUAGAGAAGGGACGUCGUGGCUUCUGAGUCUUCACUGGAGUAAAAGUCUGCUUCACAGAAGCUCCACACCAAGUCGGGGGAGUGUGGCUGGAGAAUCUUUGAGCCAAGCAGCAUCCCACUCUGCUGUCCUCCCCACAGAGGGUCACCAUCUUUCCUGGAAGGGGCCACAGGCCUAACCAGCUCCCCGAUGAUGUCGAUGCUGCUGGUCCAGGGACCACACUUUGAGAACCACCGUGCUGGUCUGUGUUGGGCUGCGAUCCUAGUCAGCCCAUGAAAAAUGGGCACAAAAUACCCUCCUCUUCUACCCUGCCGUGUCCCUCCUCUCCAGCUGGGGUGUUUGUGAUGGUGACUGGCAGAACAGCUGGAUCCCAUCAGCCCCCCUCCUCCAGGCAGAUAUCUGGUCACAUUAGUCCCGCCUGCUACCCCUUCCAGUCCCUGUCACUCCAGAUUAGAGGUGGAGGCAGCUGUGGCAACGCGGAGGGCAGUCUGCAGGCAGCUUCUGGAAUCUCUGCCGUGCUCCCCUGCCAUCUUCUGCAGCCUCAUGAAGGUCUUCCCAUAUGAGCUGGGGCACUGGUCCUAUCCUGCAGAAAUACCCUAACAUGUUCAUAGUGAAAAUUAAGGCCCUCGUACCUUCUAUCUAAACAUCUAACAGACUAAAAUAAAAUGUUUGUUCUCCUGUC